GAGAGUUCAUAAACUACUCAACCAAUACAACUUUAGUGCAUAUUAUACGACUCUUACAACUCACAUAGACUCUACGAGGUUAGCUAAUUCUUUGUUUGAGUCUUUGCAGCACAAACUCCCAGUUUUCCAUCAUGGCCCGUGGCCAUGACCUCCUUGCCCCCCGUGACUAGGCCUGGCAUUUUUAACCCAACCCGUUAAACCGACCCGACCCGACCCGUUAAAAUUAGUAUUCGGGUGGGUGGUUAACGGGUCGGGUAGUUAACGGGUCAACCCGUUAGUCACCCAUUACAUAACGGGUCAGUUUGGGUGAACCCGCGAAACCCGUUAACCACCCGUUAAGACCCGUUAGUAAGGAUUUUUGUGUAAUUUCAAUAGCCCUAAUUCAAAACCUCAGGACCUCAGCCAUCAGCCCUUACGUUCCUCACCUCUCUCGCUGCCUCACACGCCAUUGCUCUCUGAGACUGAGAUCGCUGUGCAGCCUGUGCUCCUUCCUUCAAGCUCCGGUUAUCUCCCUCAUCUUCUUCCCUCAAAAACUUUACUGAACUCCACCACUCUCUCUCUGAUGGAUAUUGAUGAAGAGAACAUUGAGGCCACGGAAAUGUCAACAGUCAAUCUAAGUGAUACGCAAGGUACAAAAAGUGCACCAAGUCCUUCAAAGAGAAAGGCUAAAGGUAUGCGAGUAGGUAAGAUACGUCAAAAGAGAUCCCGUGUUUGGACUUUGUUUGAAGAAUUGCCUGUGGAAGGCCGUAAUUCACCUGAAAAAUGGACGCAAAACCGUUGGGAAUGUCGAUGGAACUCGGGUUGGGUCGAAAUGGAGGAUUGGGUAAGGGAUCCAAUUGAUGGAUUUUUGAAUGAAAUGCACUCAACCCUAAAUUCCAGUGGGGGUGGCUGAAGCAGUUGUCCGAUAUGACAAAUGGCAGCCAAGGUUCCCUAAAUUGCCCAUUCCUUUAAUUUUAUGAAGUAUGACAAUUUGAUAUAUAUAUAUAUAUAUAUAUAUGUAUGUAUGUAUAUAUAUGUAUGUAUGUAUGUAUGUAUGUAUGUAGAGAACUUACACCUCUUGACAGAUUGUGUUGCUAGAUAGUCUUUCACGUACCUGAUUAAAAUAAAGUUCAUCAUGUUAUUCUAUCCAAAUAUUGAUUUGUUACAAC